CAGUCGCCGCGGUAAUACAGAGGGUGCGAGCGUUAAUCGGAUUUACUGGGCGUAAAGCGUGCGUAGGCGGCUUUUUAAGUCGGAUGUGAAAUCCCUGAGCUUAACUUGGGAAUUGCAUUCGAUACUGGUUAGCUAGAGUGUGGGAGAGGAUGGUAGAAUUCCAGGUGUAGCGGUGAAAUGCGUAGAGAUCUGGAGGAAUACCGAUGGCGAAGGCAGCCAUCUGGCCUAACACUGACGCUGAGGUACGAAAGCAUGGGGAGCAAACAGGAUUAGAUACCCCGGUAGUCCCUGUCUCUUAUAC
rnacentral:rRNA from 1 species